UAAACAAAAGAACUAAUUGAAGAUCGCAUAUUUGCAUUGACAAUUAUUCACAGCAUCAAGAAUGAUGGCAAGUUGGAAACAAAACUGGGAGACUUCGAGGGUUCACUCGCAAAAAUCAUUCCAAUUACUAUACGAGCAAUCUGGGUAUACAGUGGAACAAGAGAUGCACCUACAAAAGAUAUUUGACAUACACUCAAACCAAAAUCU
rnacentral:lncRNA from 1 species